GAUGAAGAACGUAGUGAAAUGCGAUAAGUAAUGUGAAUUGCAGAAUUCAGUGAAUCAUCGAAUCUUUGAACGCACAUUGCGCCCGCCAGUAUUCUGGCGGGCAUGCCUGUCCGAGCGUCAUUUCAACCCUCGAACCCCUCCGGGGGUCCGGCGUUGGGGAUCGGGAACCCCUAAGACGGGAUCCCGGCCCCGAAAUACAGUGGCGGUCUCGCCGCAGCCUCUCAUGCGCAGUAGUUUGCACAACUCGCACCGGGAGCGCGGCGCGUCCACGUCCGUAAAACACCCAACUUCUGAAAUGUUGACCUCGGAUCAGGUAGGAAUACCCGCUGAACUUAAGCAUAUCAAUAAGCGGAGGA
rnacentral:misc_RNA from 1 species